rnacentral:rRNA from 1 species
AGUGAACGCUGGCGGCAUGCUUUACACAUGCAAGUCGAACGGCAGCACGGACUUCGGUCUGGUGGCGAGUGGCGAACGGGUGAGUAAUACAUCGGAACGUACCCAGUAAUGGGGGAUAACUAGUCGAAAGAUUAGCUAAUACCGCAUACGCCCUACGGGGGAAAGAGGGGGAUCGCAAGACCUCUUGUUAUUGGAGCGGCCGAUGGCUGAUUAGCUAGUUGGUGGGGUAAAGGCCUACCAAGGCGACGAUCAGUAGCGGGUCUUAGAGGACGAUCCGCCACACUGGAACUGAGACACGGUCCAGACUCCUACGGGAGGCAGCAGUGGGGAAUCUUGGACAAUGGGCGAAAGCCUGAUCCAGCAAUGCCGCGUGCGUGAAGAAGGCCUUCGGGUUGUAAAGCGCUUUUGUCUGGGAGCAAAUCCUUGUGGCUAAUACCCACCGGGGAUGAGAGUACCAGAAGAAUAAGGACCGGCUAACUACGUGCCAGCCGCCGCAGUAA